rnacentral:rRNA from 1 species
AUUGAACGCUGGCGGCAGGCCUAACACAUGCAAGUCGAACGGUAACAGGAAGACGCUUGCUUCUUUGCUGACGAGUGGCGGACGGGUGAGUAAUGUCUGGGAAACUGCCUGAUGGAGGGGGAUAACUACUGGAAACGGUAGCUAAUACCGCAUAACGUCGCAAGACCAAAGAGGGGGACCUUCGGGCCUCUUGCCAUCGGAUGUGCCCAGAUGGGAUUAGCUUGUUGGUGGGGUAACGGCUCACCAAGGCGACGAUCCCUAGCUGGUCUGAGAGGAUGACCAGCCACACUGGAACUGAGACACGGUCCAGACUCCUACGGGAGGCAGCAGUGGGGAAUAUUGCACAAUGGGCGCAAGCCUGAUGCAGCCAUGCCGCGUGUAUGAAGAAGGCCUUCGGGUUGUAAAGUACUUUCAGCGGGGAGGAAGGGAGUAAAGUUAAUACCUUUUCUCAUUGACGUUACCCGCAGAAGAAGCACCGGCUAACUCCGUG